CUCGUCUGAAUAGAUGCACGAUCACUGAAACACAAGGGGAGGCGCAACGCGCACGGAGCGGCUGGCUCUGUAUAUCCAGCAGCGCACAGGCUGUCCUACUGCAGUCAGUCCACAGUCCUGCACACCCGAGGACCCGUGCAAGACCACCAGGACCACUUGGCGUGAUAUUCCUCACAGGAUCUGCCCUUUUGGAUUACAUGCUUUUUGGACUUUUUAAUACUUUAUCGAAGCAGAAAAAACAGCCGUGCGUAAUCGUCUCCAAAUUACCAAGUAGAAGUGGAUGUGCGUCUUUUUAAGUGACUAGACUGAAGUUUGUAGGGUUUAUCUAUCUUAGAGGCUGAAGAACAAGUGCAGCACGCGUCAGGUUUGUCUCUUGGAAUUGUCCCACUUGUCUGUGAGGAGCUGUAAUAAUGUCGCUCUGUCGCGCAGAGAACUGGAGACCGGGACGCGCUCCGAUGUGAAAUAAAACCAAACAAAAAGAGAGAAGUUCCAGCGUCUUCAGAGAUUCACUUUUCCAGAGUGCAGUCUGACGGGGGAGACUGACGCACCGGUUUCUCUCCCCGAGGGGAUGGUUGUGGGUCCUGCGGGGCCAGGAGCGACUCUGCGGCUCCUACACAACACCAACUUUUUCUUGUUUGGGGUUAAAUCGAAAUUGAAGGGAGAUGAGAGCCGUCGUUUAUUUCCUCCUGUGGACGAUGUACCUGCUGCUGGCUGCCGCUGAGGAAGCGGAGUUUCCUCAGGAGCUCAUAGACAGACUGUCCCGCAGUGAAAUCCACAGCAUCAGCGACCUCCAGCGGCUACUCGAGAUUGACUCCGUAGGUACGGGAAAUGAGGUCAUUGAGGAAGCCAAGCAUCACAAGCACCACAACCAUCAUAAGAAUUUUUCCCAUCAACAUGACUACUACAACAACCUGAAGAGCUCGCAGCUCCACAGCCGACGCAAGAGGAGCCUCGUCUCCAUUACAGCAGAGGAGGCAGUCCCAGCGGUGUGUAAGACGAGGACAGUGAUCUACGAGAUCCCACGGAGCCAGGUGGAUUCCACAUCUGCCAACUUCAUUAUAUGGCCACCUUGCGUGGAGGUGAAGCGCUGCACAGGUUGCUGCAACACCAGCAACAUGCGCUGCCACCCGUCCCGAAAGCAUCACCGCACCGUUAAGGUGGCCAAGUUGGAAUACGUGAGGAGGAAAACCAAGCUCAAAGAGGUCUUUGUGCGGUUAGAAGACCACCUGGAAUGUGUGUGCACGUUGCAGCAUCACGUGGUGGAGCACACAGAAACAGCAGAAACAGGCCACCAUAGGUCUAAAGGUAAAAAACGGAAAGCUAAAAAGCUAAGACCCUGCAAGGAUUUAUUGGCAACAUAAAAAUGUUGCACUGAUUACCAAAGUCUACUGCAGAGCUGUGAAGGGAUCAGAGGACGUGAGGUGAGACCAAUUAGAAGAAUGGACUCCAAUGUGGGAGGGACCUAACCAGAGGAUGCAACCAAUAGGAAACCUGCUCUGUCCUCUUCCUCACCACCUCUGUGUAGAAUAAAACUUUUCUGUAAAGAUGAGACUGAACUAAGAUGCCAAAGGUGCUUUUCCCAUCCUUAUUAAUAAUCCCCCCCCUGUAAGUAGCGAUGAACUUUUUUUGUGGAACACCUCCUCUGGAGUCAGCUGAACCCUGCCAGUGAUCAACAAGAAUGAUGCUGUGGAGCUCAAGCCGAGCAAAACCAGGCCGAAGGGAGAUGAUUAAAGGGAUUUAUGUUGAACUUUUUGACUUUGUUUGCAUCAAGCGUUCAUGGGAAUGUACUGCUCAGGCUCCAAAAGCAGCGGCUGAUGACCUCCAGCUGCCUGCAUAGGAAGAAAGAGAUGUUGGGAAAACAAUCAAAAGGGAGGAAAACGUUCUGAGGGUACUUUGUCCAAAAGACUCAAACGGGUUCCGGUUUGGCAUUGGAAAUCCUCUUGGAGACCCCCGGUGGUCUGUGACUGAGCCGUGUCGUCGUGUACACUUAUAUCUGAACAAAAGAAAAGAAAAUGUGCCGCUACAAACUAUUUAUACUUGUGGACAUUUUUUUUUGUUUCUUUUACUGUACAAACAAACAAACAAAGAAAGACUAUUUGGAAGAUUUGCAGGAGUUCUGUCUGAUCUGGUUCUCUGGAACCAUCAGUAUCACAAUUUCAGUGUUUUUAUUUUGUUUUUUGUUUUGUUUUGUUUUUUAGCCGUUACUUCUAUCAUCCAUGUUUCUUAUAUUACAGUAUAUCUGAAUGAUGUCAAGCCUUGUAUAUGCUUUGGAAAUGUGUGCAAGGUGGAGAUGUGAGAGUCCUGGAAGAUGCUUUAUUUUUGUUAUGAAAUAUAUUAUGCUUACUUAUAUUCAA